GACGAACGCUGGCGGCGUGCUUAACACAUGCAAGUCGAACGAAGAGCGAUGGAAGCUUGCUUCUAUCAAUCUUAGUGGCGAACGGGUGAGUAACGCGUAAUCAACCUGCCCUUCAGAGGGGGACAACAGUUGGAAACGACUGCUAAUACCGCAUACGAUCUAAUCUCGGCAUCGAGGAUAGAUGAAAGGUGGCCUCUACACGUAAGCUAUCACUGAAGGAGGGGAUUGCGUCUGAUUAGCUAGUUGGAGGGGUAACGGCCCACCAAGGCGAUGAUCAGUAGCCGGUCUGAGAGGAUGAACGGCCACAUUGGGACUGAGACACGGCCCAGACUCCUACGGGAGGCAGCAGUGGGGAAUCUUCCGCAAUGGACGAAAGUCUGACGGAGCAACGCCGCGUGAGUGAUGACGGCCUUCGGGUUGUAAAGCUCUGUUAAUCGGGACGAAAGGCCUUCUUGCGAAUAGUGAGAAGGAUUGACGGUACCGGAAUAGAAAGCCACGGCUAACUACGUG
rnacentral:rRNA from 1 species